UUGGUCUUUAACUUAGAGUUACAAGCACAGAAAUUAAGGACAGUUAGUCCUGAACUUAGAGUUCCAAGUUCAAAAAAUAAGGACAUAUAGUCCUGAACUUAGAGUUACAAGUUAAAAAGUUAAGGACAAAUAGUCCUAAACUUCAAGUUACAAGCACAGAAAUUAAGGACAGGUAGUCAUGAACUUAGAGUUCCAAGUUAAAAAAAUAAGGACAUGUAGUCCUAAAUUUAGAGUUACAAGUUAUAAAGUUAAGGACAUGUAGUCCUGAACUUAGAGUUACAAGUUAAAAAGUUAAGGACAGGUAGUCCUGAAAUUAGAGUUACAAGCUAAAAAGUUAAGGACAUGUAGUCCUGAACUUAGAGCUACAAGUUAAAAAGUUAAGGACAUGUAGUCUUGAACUUAGAGUUACAAGUUAAGAAGUUAAGGACAGGUAGUCCUAAACUUCAAGUUACAAGCUCACAAAUUAAGGACACUUGGUCUUUAACUUAGAGUUACAAGCACAGAAAUUAAGGACAUGUAGUCCUGAACUUAGAGUUACAAGUUAAAAAGUUAAGGACAUGUAGUCCUAAACUUAGAGUUACAAGUUAAAAAGUUAAGGACAGGUAGUCCUAAACUUCAAGU
rnacentral:lncRNA from 1 species